rnacentral:rRNA from 1 species
GACAGAGGUGCCAAGCGUUAGGCGGAAUCACUGGGCUUAAAGCGUGUGUAGGCGGAAUUGUAAGUACCUUGUGAAAUCCCACGGCUCAACCGUGGAACUGCUCGGUAUACUGCUUUUCUUGAGCCACUUAGGGGCUGUCGGAACAAACGGUGGAGCGGUGAAAUGCGUAGAUAUCGGGAGGAACACCGGUGGCGAAGGCGGUUCUCUGGGCCUGUGCUGACGCUGAGGAGCGAAAGCGUGGGGAGCGAACAGG